rnacentral:rRNA from 1 species
UACGUAGGAGACGAGCGUUGUCCGGAGUUACUGGGCGUAAAGGGUGCGCAGGCGGCCCUGCGCGUCGCGAGUGAAAUCUCCCGGCUCAACUGGGAGGGUGGUCGCGAGACGGCAGGGCUUGAGGCUCGGUGAGGGGCGUGGAAUUCCGGGUGGAGCGGUGAAAUGCGUAGAGAUCCGGAGGAACACCAACGGCGUAGGCAGCGCCCUAGACGAGACCUCGACGCUCAGGCACGAAAGCGCGGGGAGCGAACAGG